rnacentral:ribozyme from 1 species
UGCCCAGCAACUCCUAUUCCUACCUCCACGCGGUACCGGCCGGAAACUAUGAGCAACUUUAGGGAAGAUCGGGUAACCAGGGAAGAUCGGGUAACCAACCCCGGUGGGAACUUUGGUCGUAGGCAGACAGGGAAGG